GACGGAGGAUGCAAGCGUUAUCCGGAAUGAUUGGGCGUAAAGCGUCCGCAGGUGGCAGUUCAAGUCUGCUGUCAAAGACCGGGGCUUAACUUCGGAAAGGCAGUGGAAACUGAACAGCUAGAGUAUGGUAGGGGCAGAGGGAAUUCCUGGUGUAGCGGUGAAAUGCGUAGAGAUCAGGAAGAACACCGGUGGCGAAGGCGGGUCUCUGGGCAGUAACUGACGCUGAGGCGCGAAAGCCAGGGGAGCGAACGGG
rnacentral:rRNA from 1 species